rnacentral:lncRNA from 1 species
GGGGAGGUUGAAGUUCGACGGGAUUGGUUCCUGAUGAUUAUUUGAGAGAAAGGAGGGUCAGUACAGAUGUCCUCACCGUAAGCAGUGGAAGCACGACGGAGCUCUUCGAUCUAUCGGUUCAUCUCCUAGAAUCUGUGAUCCAGGAGGUCCUCUCGAUUGCGGACCUCGAGGGUCUUCUGGUGGAGCGGAGGCAGGGACUCUCUGGGGGUUGAAUCAUGAUCGGAUGGAGGACUCUCCGCCUUCUAUUUUUCUUUUCUGGGAAAGACAGGGUGGCUGGCCCAUGUGGCCCGUCCGGUCGUCGGAUUCUGGAACUCCGA